rnacentral:rRNA from 1 species
UGGGGAAUCUUGGACAAUGGGGGAAACCCUGAUCCAGCCAUGCCGCGUGAGUGAUGAAGGCCUUCGGGUUGUAAAACUCUUUCGACGGGGACGAUAAUGACGGUACCCGUAGAAGAAGCUCCGGCUAACUUCGUGCCAGCAGCCGCGGUAAUACGAAGGGGGCUAGCGUUGUUCGGAAUUACUGGGCGUAAAGCGCGCGCAGGCGGCCUUUCAAGUCAGGGGUGAAAGCCCAGAGCUCAACUCUGGAACUGCCUUUGAAACUGUGAGGCUUGAGUACGGGAGAGGUGAGUGGAAUUCCCAGUGUAGAGGUGAAAUUCGUAGAUAUUGGGAAGAACACCGGUGGCGAAGGCGGCUCACUGGCCCGUUUCUGACGCUCAGGCGCGACAGCGUGGGGAUCAAACAGGAUUAGAUACCCCCGUAGUCC